GGCGGCAGGCCUAACACAUGCAAGUCGAACGGUAACAUUUCUAGCUUGCUAGAAGAUGACGAGUGGCGGACGGGUGAGUAAUGCUUGGGAACUUGCCUUUGCGAGGGGGAUAACAGUUGGAAACGACUGCUAAUACCGCAUAAUGUCUUCGGACCAAACGGGGCUUCGGCUCCGGCGCAAAGAGAGGCCCAAGUGAGAUUAGCUAGUUGGUAAGGUAACGGCUUACCAAGGCGACGAUCUCUAGCUGUUCUGAGAGGAAGAUCAGCCACACUGGGACUGAGACACGGCCCAGACUCCUACGGGAGGCAGCAGUGGGGAAUAUUGCACAAUGGGGGGAACCCUGAUGCAGCCAUGCCGCGUGUGUGAAGAAGGCCUUCGGGUUGUAAAGCACUUUCAGUUGUGAGGAAAAGUUAGUAGUUAAUACCUGCUAGCCGUGACGUUAACAACAGAAGAAGCACCGGCUAACUCCGUGCCAGCAGCCGCGGUAAUACGGAGGGUGCGAGCGUUAAUCGGAAUUACUGGGCGUAAAGCGCACGCAGGCGGUUUGUUAAGCUAGAUGUGAAAGCCCCGGGCUCAACCUGGGAUGGUCAUUUAGAACUGGCAGACUAGAGUCUUGGAGAGGGGAGUGGAAUUCCAGGUGUAGCGGUGAAAUGCGUAGAUAUCUGGAGGAACAUCAGUGGCGAAGGCGACUCCCUGGCCAAAGACUGACGCUCAUGUGCGAAAGUGUGGGUAGCGAACAGGAUUAGAUACCCUGGUAGUCCACACCGUAAACGCUGUCUACUAGCUGUGUGUGCCUUUUAGGCGUGCGUAGCGAAGCUAACGCGCUAAGUAGACCGCCUGGGGAGUACGGCCGCAAGGUUAAAACUCAAAUGAAUUGACGGGGGCCCGCACAAGCGGUGGAGCAUGUGGUUUAUUCGAUGCAGAAAGUAAGAACAUUGCUUGCACCGUCAGUGAUGAGAAGUUAGUAGAGCAUAGUAUUGAGCCGUCGGGUAUUCAGACGCUAGGUGUCUGCAUGGGCGUGGUAAGCUCUGUGUAAGUGUGAUGCUGGGUUGAGUGUGGUAACGAGCGCGAACGCUGUCUUUAGUCGCGAGCCAUGAGUGGGUCAGUGUUAGGAGCAUUGUGGAGUCUUACCGGAGGAAGGCGGGGGUGGGGGUAAGUCAUGAGGGUCAGUACCAGUAGGGCUGCUCUUGCUCUCCAAUCACAUAGACAUAGUGAAGUGAGUCAGCGAUGUGGAGCGGACCCAGUUAAUAUCGUUGUAGUCUGGAUUGGAGUCGGAAACUAGACUCCAUGAGGUCGGAAUACAUAGUAAUGGCAGGUCAGUCGUUUGCGGCGAUUAUCGUUCCUCGGACAGUGUACGCUCCCAACCGUCACUCCACGGUAGUGGCACUCAUAAUAAGUCCUUAAACGAGCAAUGGGGAGGUUGAUUACCAAUUGUGGGCCCCCAGGGUGGGGAAGUAGUAACAAGG
rnacentral:rRNA from 1 species